CACGUAGGCGGCUCGCCAAGUCGGAUGUGAAAACCCUCGGCUUAACCGAGGAAGUGCAUUCGAAACUAGCGAGCUUGAGUACGGGAGAGGAUCGCGGAAUUCCCGGUGUAGAGGUGAAAUUCGUAGAUAUCGGGAGGAACACCGGUGGCGAAGGCGGCGGUCUGGACCGAUACUGACGCUGAGGUGCGAAAGCGUGGGGAGCAAACA
rnacentral:rRNA from 1 species